rnacentral:rRNA from 1 species
UGCAAGUCGAGGGGCAGCAUUUCUAGCUUGCUAGAAGAUGGCGACCGGCGCACGCUUUAAUAACGCGUAUGCAACUCGCCUUUAACUGGAAGAUAUCCCAAAGAAAUUUGGACUAAUACUCCAUAACAUCAUGAAUUCGCAUGUUUUUAUGAUUAAAGCUCCGGCGGUUAAAGAUAGGCAUGCGUCCCAUUAGCUUGUUGGUGAGGUAACGGCUCACCAAGGCUACGAUGGGUAGGGGGCCUGAGAGGGUGAUCCCCCACACUGGUACUGAGACACGGACCAGACUCCUACGGGAGGCAGCAGUGAGGAAUAUUGGUCAAUGGAGGAAACUCUGAACCAGCCAUCCCGCGUGAAGGAUGAAUGCCCUAGUGGUUGUAAACUUCUUUUAUAUGGGAAUAAACCUGAGUACGUGUACUCAGCUGAAGGUACCAUACGAAUAAGCAUCGGCUAACUCCGUGCCAGCAGCCGCGGUAAUACGGAGGAUGCAAGCGUUAUCCGGAUUUAUUGGGUUUAAAGGGUCCGCAGGCGGACCAUUAAGUCAGUGGUGAAAGUCUGCAGCUUAUCUGUAGAAUUGCCAUUGAUACUGAUGGUCUUGAGUGUGGUUGAAGUGGGCGGAAUAUGA